rnacentral:lncRNA from 1 species
GGUGGCUCGGGGUUCCAGAGCGCAGCCGCGGCGGUACAGCGAGUGGGACGUGCGAGUGCAAGGUUGGGUAGCUGGAAGCUGGCGCGGAUACGGAGUGUCCUUUCACGGACGCACAUGUGCGAGCCCUUCCGCCGCUUACCAGGGCGCGCUGGCCAGAGAGUGAGUGCCCACCGGCCAGGGACCUGGGGGCUGGGGAGGGACUGCAGGCCAUAGAGGUCUCUGGCUUACAACUUGCCAGCUAGACUGUAGAUGUGUGUCCCCGUGGUUCCUGGCACUCCGGGUCCUGGACCGGCUGGAAAAUAUGAUCUCUUACCUCUCCCUGGGCGCCACCGCAUGCCAGGCACAGUGCUUCACACGAAUGAUCUCGUUAAUGUGCCCUCAGCCCCGUGAAGUAGGUGACCGCAUUAUCCUCAUAUUACUAAUAAGGGAGCAGGGAACCCGAGAGCACCGUUCACAAAGGGUGCCAUCGUUUACGGAAGCGCCACGGAACCGCUGUAGUUUGGCUGUGCUUUCAAAAACAUUGUGGUAAUCUGGGGGGCUGGGGGGCGGGAUCUUCCUAACCAGUAAUCUCUGAAAAUAACAGCUUCUGUGAACUUUAAUCUCUGGAAACCUCAGCCAAAGAAAAGACAUGAAAAGAAACUUGUAUAAAUCAUACAGACUUCUAAUAGUGCUAGGUAUAGUUCUGGGGUGGGGAGAGGAGAGUAACCUAAAUGAGCACAAAAGGGCAGCAGACAAUGGCAUAGCUACACAAAGAAAUGUCUAGCUGUUCCAGUGACCAGUGUGGGGCCUGACUGUGGAAAGAGACUUAGGAAGUAAUAAAGUGAAAACUUCAUAAAAUAGCAUUUGGAUGCAUUAAGAUGAAAUGAUGUUUAUGUCAAAAAUAGAACACAUUUGGUGUGGUAUGUGUAGUUUAAAAGCACAUGACUCUUCCUGUGGACUUGGGUAAAACUUUUAUCCUUUGUUGGUUUCCAACAAAGGUGAGUUCUUGCUGUGGAUGGGGUGCCUGAGGGUGAAGAGCUUGUGUUGGAGAUUUGUUUAUUUUGAACAAGUCCCUCAUUUGUGGGCCUCAGUUUCUUAUUCUUAACCUCUAGAAGAAGUGGAUGAUUUGGAAUUGGGAACCCAGAUUACUAAAGUGGCUAUUGAACGGCCAAGACAUGUGAUAGAAAUAUUUCUCCUGAGCCAAGCAAGACAUAGGGAGUGGAGAGGCCUGGGAAUACUGAAAAAUGCAUAGGGCGCCAGGAAGCAUUUAAAUGGAAGCUUUUGAUCCAAAUCAAGAUGUUUCUGGUCCUCAAUUUGGCAAUCUCAGGAUGGGCAUCUCUGAGUCUGCAGUGACACUGGGAACCUUUCAGUACUACUCUUCUACUUAAGAGGCUCCAGUGGCUUUUUGCUAGGCUUAGGAUAAAAGUUUUGCCCCUUCCCUAUAAGGUCAGCUUGGUUGGACCCCACUCAACUCUGACUGUAUCCCCUACCACCUCUUAAACAAACCAACAAACGAAACUGAAACUAAAAACCAUAGUCCAGCCAAAUAGCCCUUCUACUUCCUCAAACCUUUCAGCAGAGUUCCUACUUCAGCACUUAUUUGCUAUUCUGUCUGCCUGGACCCCAUAUUUUUGCAUGGCAAACUGCAUAUUCACUGUCCCUGUUUGGAGACCCCUUCUUGAGCUCCCUAUCUAAAAUAGCAAACAUACUCCUGCCCAAAGGUAUUUUAUUUUCUUAGCACUAUCACUAUUGCUUAUCAUCAUCACUAGUACAUAUCUCUGUCUGGAAUUCUGUGCCUUCCUUGUCUUCUUGUUUAUUGUCUCUCCCCCCACCCACCAAAGAGUAAGGGUUCUAUUUUCAUCUAUUUUGUUCAUCUCUGUAGCCUUGGCACCUGGGUGCAGUAUCCAGCCAGAGGGUCAGUUCCACCUUUUUGGCUGCUAUGAAUAAUGCUGCUGUAAAUGUGGGUGCACAAGUGAUCUCACCCUGCUUUCAAUUUUUUGAAGUUAUACCCAGAAGUGGAAUUGCAGGGUACAUGGUAACUUCAUUUUAAAAUGGCACCUCUGUACCAUUUUUCCAUAGCAGAUGGACUUUUUACAUCCACACCAACAGUCCAUAGGGGUUCUAAAUCCUUCCACUUCCCACCAACCUUGUGGAUUGUUGAUUUUUUUGAUGAUAGCCAUUUUAAUGGGUGUGAGGUGAUAUCUCAUUGUAAUUUUGAUUGGUUAUUCCCAGUGACCAAUGACACCAAGCACCUUUUUAUUUGCUUAGUCCUCAUUUAUAUAUCUCAUUUAGAGAAAGGUCUAUUCCAUUCCUGUUCUCAUUUUUAAUUGGGUUGUUUGUUUUUUGUUGUUGAGUUUUAUCUGAGCUUCCCCUCUGCCCCCCAGUGGGAGUAGGUUUCUUGCAGGACCUUUGCUCUCUCAGCAUGAAGCUAGUUUUUCUGGAGAUGGCUAGCCAGGGGUGAGGACACAGCCUCCUUUGUGCCUCUGAGGUCUUCUUAGGGAGAACUAACAUUUUUCUUUCUUUCUUUUUUUUUUUUUUUUUUGUGCUUGGGAUUGAACCCAGAGCUUUGUACAUGCUCUACUACUGAACUCCACCCUGGCCCUCUGGAAUCAUAUCGUGUGCUAGCCACUACAUACACAUAUAUGUAUUGCAGGGUACAUGGUAAUAUACAUGCAUAUAUGUAUAUAUAUCUCCUGAACCAUUCUGUGGCUUUGUAGUUGAGAAGGCUGAGACACAGAGAGGUACAGGGACUUGCUGCAGGUCACAUAGUUAGACAUAGCAAAACUGGAAUCUGGAUAAUAUUCAUCUCAUAUGGAAGUCUCCACUGGCCUAGGCUACCUCCCUAGAGAAACUUUUGAGAUCUCUAUCUAGAAACAAGAACUGAACCAACUCCUUAUUUACAGGUAGGAAAAGCACCCAGUGACACCCAGUACUGUCUCCUGGGCUUCGCCAACACCAGCUGGGUAUUCAGGUGCCCUGCGUGCAUGUCAGCUUAUUAAUGUGCCUGCCCUUUGCCUCUUCACCCUCAUGUAUUACCUAAAGGCUGAGAAGGUACAGUGCCUGCUUCCUGCCUGUGACUCGUUUCUCAGGUCCUCUUCUCUAUGGCUGGCUGCCUUCACUGAAGGUUCCAAGUCCUCUGAGAAAAAAGAAGUGUUGGUUUUGAUAUUUGGCAUGAUUUGUCCUUGGAGGCCUGUCUCCAAAGGAAGCCUUGCCUCUCCCAAGAGCCUUUUUUUCUAAUGCAUGCGCAUGUCCUCCUGAAGCAGAGAGCCUAGACUUUGUACUUGCACCUCACCUCUGCAUUCCCCACCUCCCUUGAGUUGACUUUCUCUUUCAGAUUAUUGGGAUCACCAAAGAGAGUGACUGCACCUGAAAGCCUGGGGCCUCCACACCAAAUCAGAGGAAAAAAAUCAGUCUUCUUCGGGCAUGGCAGGUAAUGGCUCAUUAUGGGGGAGUUAGACUUUUAAUCCAAGAUUGAAUAUAUCAUUUGAUAUUUUAAAAAUCUAAACCUAAACAACACAGCAGUGUGUACAACCUAUUUACACCGUGGAUCACUCUCUGGAAUUAUCUUGUUUUGAAUUUUUUUAGUUUUCUUGUCCGUUUUUAAACCCCCCCGCCCCUCCCCCAAGGCAAGUUCCUCAAGAAUGGGCCAUACCUACCUUGUCUUUACCCUGCCUCCAGUUCCAGAAAUCAUCCUGUGACAUAGUAGGUCCUCAAAAAAUAGUUAUUCAGUGAGUGAGUGAGUGAGCCCCAAUUUUAAACUACACUUGAAGUCCCAAUUUUAAAAUUAUUUCUUUACUUUUUUUUUUUAAUAAUUCCAUUUUUACUUAUUUGUUUGUUCCUUGUUCUUUUUCUUUCCUUUUUUCCCCCCCAGUUCUGGAGAUUAAAUGUAAGGCCUCCUGCAUGGUAAGCAGAAUCUCUGCCACUGAGCUCACCCCCGGCCCCAUCUGUACUUUUGUGUUUGUUUAUCAUGCAUGCAGGCACACACACCUGCACACCUAUGCGGUGAAUUUUGCAACUAUUUUUUUCACUCAACAAUAUAACAUGGAUAUGCUUUCAUUUUAGAAUAUACGUAUUCACUUUAUUCUGUACAUUCUACUAUAGAUUUGGAUGUUUUGAACUUGGUACUACUGAUGUUUGGGGCCACAUAAUCCUUUGUUGUGGGGAGAUCCCUGUGCCUUGUAGAAUGUUUAGCAGAGUCCAGUGACUCUGCCUGCCCCCACCAGUUGUGACAAUCAGAAAUGGCUCUGGAAUUGGGAAAUAUCCUCUGACUGGCAACACUGCUCCUAGUUGAAAAACAUUGGUGCAGGAUUUCAUUCACACCUAUUUUCCUGGUAAGCCCCCAAGUAGAAUUCCUUUAUAACAUUGGAGUCGGAGAAAGCCAAGAUUAAUAAUUUACUUAAUUCAUGGAAUUCAGCCUUUUACAUUCAACUGAAUACCCUGAAACUGUCUGCUUCAAGCUAAUACAUGUAGUUUCUCUUCAAGAUCCUACACUGCAAAAUUGAAGUCAAGCAUUUAACAUUUUAGUCUUAGAUGUUACCAGAGCAAAUCACCAAGUUACCUUCUAGAAGAAUUCAGUACAUAAUCCCACAGACUCUCAUGAAUGUGGACGAUACUGUGUUCAGAAGCCUCUGCUGUUCGUGAUACAGCUAGUGCCUAUAAAAUCUGUUCUUAGAGUCCUCUCUGCUUUAGCAUUGCCACCAAGAUAUGGCUUUCACCUAGUCCUGCCUUCCUCAAGGGACAAGGGGACAGUUCCUCGUGUUUUGUUUAAGUGCCCAGUUGCCAUGAACCUGGAAGAUGGAAGUAGAGUGUGCCAGCCUGAAAGGGGCCGUAGCUGUAGGGUUGGCACAAAAGAUGAGUUCUGAUAGCUUUUUAUUUUGGUGUUGGGGAGUCAGGCUAAAACUUCUCAUAGAGCUAACCAGAUUAUAUCAGGCUUUUAAAGAUUUAAUUUUGUAGUUUCGUUUUGAGAAGACAUAAUUUGGCCUGCUGUGUUUGUAUGUACAGGUUGAGCAUCCCUAAAGCUCCAAAACAUUUUUCAGCUCAUGACUCUAAAAUACUCUAAAAUCCAAAAUUCUCUGAACACAAAAUUUCAGAUUUUAGAGUAUUUCUGAUUUUGGAUUUUCAUAUCAUGGAUGCUUUACCUAGAAAGUCUACACAAAUAUUCCAAAAUUUGAAAAAUAUGAAUUCAAAAAUACUUCUGGCAUUUCAGAUAAGGAAUACUCAACCUAUAUUUGCACACUCAAGUAAAGAUGAACUAUUAUAUAACUGAAUUUAAAAAUGUUAAUUUUAAAACUGUCAUCCAGUAAGAUCAUUGGUAUUGCUUAGCUUCAACGGCAGUGAUGCGUCUAAGCAUAUAAUUUUCAUCUUAGUCUUCAUGGGAUUUUGACAAAGGAGAAUGGCUGUUCAGUAGGAAAUGUUCCUUCUCCUGAUGUAGGUAAGAAAGUGCUCAUUGUCUAUGCACACCAAGAACCCAAGUCUUUCAAUGGCUCCUUGAAGAAAGUGGCAGUGGAUGAAUUGAGCCAGCAGGGAUGCACCGUCACCGUGUCUGACUUGUAUGCCAUGAACUUUGAGCCAAGGGCCACAAGGAAAGAUAUCA